UCGAGGAAGCCACUUCAGGGCCUCAGCAUGCCUGGCUGUAAAAUGGGAACGCUGAUGCCAGCCGUGCCUCCUCCCAGCUCCUCCCAAGGUCAGGAACAGCUGCAGGGCUGGACAGACCUAGUGGCAUGUGUUGGGGAAGGGAUCCCUAGAUGUAUGCCCCACCUGACUCCAUGAGGCUCCUCAGCUGCAUCUCCACCUCAGCCGCCCGCCCAUCUAUCUGCCUCUGCUCCUGUUCCAGGGCCUGCAGCUCUGCACACACGUACUGACUUGUGUCCUGGAACCGUUGCUGGGGGUGGAAAAGGCAGAGAACAGGGUGGACUCAGCCCAGGCCCUGAAUAGGUGGUGCUCACCCAUCAGCUCCUCCCACUUAGCCCUCCUUACCAGCCCAGCCUCCUCCCCUGGGCUUGGGGGUGGUUCCUCCGAGGGGGAACUCCCACCUGCAGACAGAGAUGAUGAUAAGGCACCCCCUAACCACCACCCACCCCCAGGAAGUCCCCAGUCCAGGCUUUGUGAGCAGCCUGAACUGAGAUGGUCACCACUCCUGCUACUCACCAGGGGGCUGUUGAGAGUCUGCAGCUGUGGGUGGGCCUGGGGCAGGGCUGGGGUCAGGGGCCUGGCCUUCCUGUGGAAGAAGGGGCCAGUGAGGGCUGGGAGGGGUUUCCCACCAGCCUGGGCCUGGGGCCAGCCAGAGCCACUCAUACAGAGGGGAGGAGGGGUCCUUGACCCCAGCUCCUGCCCGCCCCUGCCCCUCCUCUAGUCCUGCAUGCACAGAACCCCCGGGCCCACCUCCUUCCAAGAGAAAUGCCUCCUCAAGCAAAGGCCACAGCCUUCAUCCUUCCUGGCCCUGUGGCCCUGGGCCCAUCCACACCCAGGCUCCGAGCCUCCCAAUUCCCCUCCUGGGGCUGGGCUGAGCUCCGGCCUCACAGGAUGAGAGCCUGUGAAGGGCCCAGCCCAGGCCUUUCCUCCCUACUCUCUUUUUUUGAGAUGGAGAUUCGCUCUGUCGCCCUGGCUGGAGUGCAGUGGCAGGAUCAUGGCUCACUGCAACCUCCACCUCCUGGUUCAGGUGAUUCUCCUGCCUCAGCCUCCCAAGUAGCCACCCGCCAUCACGCCCAGCUAAUUUUUGUAUUUUUAGUAGAGACGGGGUUUCACCAUGUUGGCCAGGCUGGUCUCGAACUCCUGACCUCAGGUGAUCUGCUCACUUUGGCCUCCCAAAGUGCUGGGAUUACAGGUGUGAGCCACCACGCCCGGCCUCGACUCCUCUUCCAUGGAAUUCCCUCAGGCCACCUCUGACUUCUGUCACCUAGUGCUGGCUUCUCCGUCAUGGCCAGGGCCCCAUGCAGUGACCAUUGCACUGCCCCACAUGGCCCCAUCCGUGUGACCCAGCCCAGCCCUGCCUCCUGCAGAGGCCCCACCAGGCUCCCUCCCCUUCUGUCCUCAGGGCUCCCCAGACCUGGACCCUCCUGAGCCAGCACCUCCACCUCCUGGCCAAAAGGGGGUGCCCUGCUGCCUUUUCAGUUCCCACACCCAGGAGCGGCUGCUGCAUGCUCACACACACAGGACAAGCCAGGCUGGCUGGAUCUUUGAAUUUUAGCUUGGAAGGGCAGGGCUGACCCCAUGUACCUGCCCGCCCCUAGUGACUUGUUGGGACUGUCAGCCCUGGGGGUCCCCAACUUUCGACUCAGCUGAUAGCCUGGCCCCUCAACUGCUCCUGCCCUGGCCCCCCACAUCUGGGUCAUCUGACCUGUGUCGGGGUCAUGGGGCAGGGACAGUGGUUGACCUGCCCGUGUCCACUCCCACCUGUACCUCUCUCAGAGGCAGCCCUGGACAUCCCUGGCUCAGAGGCAAUCCUCUCUGGCCUGGGGCAGUGGUGACUUCCCCACCAGCCACCACCAUGGCCUGCCUGCUGACUCAAGCUGAAACUGAGAGGCCUCUCUGACACCUUCACCCCCGGUGUAACUGUUUCACAUCUCUCCUCAGCCCCCCAGCCUCAUGCCAAAGCCUCAGGCGGCCCCAGCCUCAAUGUUCCUACCACCCUGAGCCACGCCUAGACACCGCCCCCUGGCCACAGUGGCCGACUUUCAGUUCCCAAAAUAGCUUUCUCAGCCUGGAGUCAGCUUCCAUCUUGGGCUGCCUGGUACCAACGUGACCUCCACGACCCAGCCCAGCCCUACUUCCUCCAGAGACCCCCCUGCCGGGGCCCCCACACUCUUCCCGCCUCCCUCCCUGACUUCCAUGUCUCCAGAAGCCUCCUCUGAUCCCCAGGCUGGGCAGAUGCUGCUCCCAUGGCCUCCCCCAUCACAGCUCCAACCCCCACUCACCCCGUCACAGCUGCUGGUUUCCCAUGUCUCCCCCUUAUACAGAGCUGGGCCCAAAAAAUACAGUCAAGGUACACUGACUAAUAACAGCAGCUAAUAUCUACCAAGUGUUUCUGUGCCGGGCACUUAAAGCACUUUAUGUGCACUGACUCACUGAAUCCUCCCAACAGCCCUGUGAGGCAGGACCUCAGAUUCUAGCCCUGGGACCCCUGAACUCCUAGAUGCUAUCUCUUGGGUCCCCAAUAUCUCAGUUUCUGCUGUCCCAGUCGCUAUCUCUGGAACCUCUGAACCCCCAACCUCUUUCACCUGGAUCCCUGUUGUAUCAGCUUCUAACCCUGGGACCCCUGAAUCCCUAGAUGCUAUCUCUUGGGUCCCCAAUAUCGCACCUUCUGCUGCCCCAGUCUCUAUUCCCAGAACCCCCAAAAGUCCCACCUCUAUCUCCUGGGCUACCAAUAUGUCAGACUCUGCUAUCUCUGCUUCUAUCUCUCUGACCCCUGAAUCCCUAGCUGUUAUCUCCUGGGUCCCUAAUAUUUUAGCUUCUGUCCCCUCAGCCUCUGACUCUGG
rnacentral:lncRNA from 1 species